UGGGGAAUAUUGGACAAUGGGGGCAACCCUGAUCCAGCAAUGCCGCGUGUGUGAAGAAGGUCUUCGGAUUGUAAAGCACUUUCGACGGGGACGAUGAUGACGGUACCCGUAGAAGAAGCCCCGGCUAACUUCGUGCCAGCAGCCGCGGUAAUACGAAGGGGGCUAGCGUUGCUCGGAAUGACUGGGCGUAAAGGGCGUGUAGGCGGUUUACACAGUCAGAUGUGAAAUCCCCGGGCUUAACCUGGGAGCUGCAUUUGAUACGUGUAGACUAGAGUGUGAGAGAGGGUUGUGGAAUUCCCAGUGUAGAGGUGAAAUUCGUAGAUAUUGGGAAGAACACCGGUGGCGAAGGCGGCAACCUGGCUCAUGACUGACGCUGAGGCGCGAAAGCGUGGGGAGCAAACAGGAUUAGAUACCCUGGUAGUCCACNCUGUAAACGAUG
rnacentral:rRNA from 1 species